AUUGAACGCUGGCGGCAUGCUUUACACAUGCAAGUCGAACGGUAACAGGUCUUCGGAUGCUGACGAGUGGCGAACGGGUGAGUAAUGUAUCGGAACGUGCCCAGUAGUGGGGGAUAACUACUCGAAAGAGUGGCUAAUACCGCAUGAGAACUGAGGUUGAAAGCGGGGGACCUUCGGGCCUCGCGCUACUGGAGCGGCCGAUAUCAGAUUAGGUAGUUGGUGGGGUAAAGGCCUACCAAGCCGACGAUCUGUAGCUGGUCUGAGAGGACGACCAGCCACACUGGGACUGAGACACGGCCCAGACUCCUACGGGAGGCAGCAGUGGGGAAUUUUGGACAAUGGACGCAAGUCUGAUCCAGCAAUGCCGCGUGCAGGACGAAGGCCUCGGUUGUAACUAGCUUUGUUACAG
rnacentral:rRNA from 1 species